UAGGGAAUCUUCGGCAAUGGACGAAAGUCUGACCGAGCAACGCCGCGUGAGUGAAGAAGGUUUUCGGAUCGUAAAACUCUGUUGUUAGAGAAGAACAAGGACGUUAGUAACUGAACGUCCCCUGACGGUAUCUAACCAGAAAGCCACGGCUAACUACGUGCCAGCAGCCGCGGUAAUACGUAGGUGGCAAGCGUUGUCCGGAUUUAUUGGGCGUAAAGCGAGCGCAGGCGGUUUCUUAAGUCUGAUGUGAAAGCCCCCAGCUCAACCGGGGAGGGGAAUUGGAAAGUGGGAGACUUGAGUGCAGAAGAGGAGAGUGGAAUUCCAUGUGAGACGGUGAAAUGCGUAGAUAUAGGGAGGAACACCAGUGGCGAAGGCGGUUCGCUGGGCUGUAACUGACGCUGAGGCUCGAAAGCGUGGGGAGCAAACAGG
rnacentral:rRNA from 1 species